UAAAAAAAUAAAAAAAUAAAAAAUACACCCACCUCCCAUUUUGUGGUUUCAAUAGUAGAAAGUAACAUCAUUGAACAGAACAAGUUGAGAAUACUGAAUUCAAUACAUUUAAACUCUGUAAAAUGCUAAAAAACAAGAAAUGAAUCAUGAUCUCAUUUAUGAGCUUGUUGAUUCAAAUGGCAAAAUGUCUUAAGUUAAGCCAAUGCCUGUAGAGACCUUUUAAUGAUUUUAAAGAAGAGAAAACAAACCCAGAAAUGGACCAUAAUUAUUGAAAGCACAAGACAUAGGUGCAGACCUGCGAGUUCAGAUAUAAAAAUAUAGGACUUCAAAUAGACAAUUAUUUAUUAAGAAAUAGCGAGAGGAAGGCUGAUCCUUUUUUACCUACCUGUUUCUAGAAGUAAUGAUGGUUUCAGUUCCUAAGUGCUACUGAAUCAUGGUUUUAAAUAGUGAAUCGUUCAUGGAAUAAGAAUCACUUGCAAUGUCACAGAAUCAAACCAAAUCAACCAUUACUAUAUGGAGUCCCAGAGAUUUUCAGUACACAUUUUUUUCCUUCUCUUAGGUUGGUAACCUAGGAUUUUUUUUUUAAGUAAAAAAAAAGUUAACAAUAGUUAGUCUAAUCAAAGUGAAUUUCCUGCUCUAAUGGUCUCCCACCGUUACUGUCCUCUCCUUAAGUAGAUUUGUUCCCCAGUGAAUUUUCCUAAGUUUUUACUCUCUCUCUCUCAUAUUUUUUUUUUUUAAGUACCAAAAAAAAAAAAUCUCUUCAAUACAGACAGCUUUAAUUGAGUGUUCAUCCUUCUUCGACUCACUAAAGUUAGAUUUUUAUGCACAUAAUGUCACAGUCCUAGAUUCUAACAUGACAUUUGAAACUGUGCGGCACCUAGAUUUCCAUCUCUAGGACAGCAAACUCCAACUCAAUUCUCCUAUUAGCUUAAUCUUUUAUGUCAAUGAUCCAACCUCAGGCCAACACAGACAUCUCUCAAGACAGAGUGUCACUCCUCAUUGUGUUUAAUCGAAUAUGGGACUCCUUGACAAUGAUCAAACCUAAGCCAACACAUGUUGCCUUCCAAAAUACCAUACUGAAUAGCUGUCCCUAUAGAUUAACCUCAAUCUUAGGACCAGAAUGUUCUAUGGGCUUCUCAGGCCCCACAAUGUCCAUAGACCUCCUAUGGAGACGCUUGACUUUUUCUUGCUAGAGAACAAUGGCCGUCUCCUAGUCUAGACAACUAAGGAGCUCACAUGAAGGUCCACUGACCUCGAGGAUGGCGGAGAGCCAACACCAUACUUCUCCUAUAAAGUAUCAUUAGAGUUUUCCUCCUACAGCAGGAGACCUUAUAAUGCUCGAGUGGUGACAAUACUAUUAUUAUAUAAAUAUAAAAACAUUACCCAAUUACUCUUGUACCUCUUGAACUAUUCCUUAAUUAUGAAAAUGCCAUCCAAUCCAAACUUUCCCAUCUUUCAUAUUUAUGAACUUGGCCACCUGUUCAAACUUUUCUAUCACUUAUACUCUUCAUAUCUCCAUCGGCUUAUAACUUGGCCUUGCCCCUUGGGAGGGCUAUGAGUAGCUUCAUGACAACUUGUGCCUCGGGCGAUAAAAGGAUCUAUUGCCUUAAUUGCGCCAUUUUCCUUUGACUACCUGGAUUAAGCAAAAUCUAAAUAGGUCUCCAUCUUUACCAUG
rnacentral:misc_RNA from 1 species